rnacentral:rRNA from 1 species
GACGAACCGAGCGAACGUUGUUCGGAAUCACUGGGCUUAAAGGGCGCGUAGGCGGGUUUGCAAGUCCGGGGUGAAAUCCCACAGCUCAACUGUGGAACUGCCUCGGAUACUGUGAGUCUCGAGGGUGGCAGGGGUAUGGCGGAACUAUCGGUGGAGCGGUGAAAUGCGUUGAUAUCGAUAGGAACUCCGGUGGCGAAGGCGGCAUACUGGUCCACUUCUGACGCUGAGGCGCGAAAGCCAGGGGAGCAAACGGG